GACAGAGGGUGCAAACGUUGUUCGGAAUUACUGGGCGUAAAGCGCGUGUAGGCUGCUCGGAAAGUCGGAUGUGAAAGCCCUGGGCUCAACCUAGGAAGUGCAUUCGAAACUUCUGAGCUGGAGUGCUGGAGAGGAAGGCGGAAUUCUCGGUGUAGAGGUGAAAUUCGUAGAUAUCGAGAGGAACACCGGUGGCGAAGGCGGCCUUCUGGACAGCAACUGACGCUGAGACGCGAAAGCGUGGGGAGCGAACAGG
rnacentral:rRNA from 1 species